GCCGCCUUAGCUCAGUUGGUAGAGCAGCUGAUUCGUAAUCAGCAGGUCGACGGUUCGAGUCCGUCAGGCGGCUCCA
rnacentral:tRNA from 1 species